rnacentral:rRNA from 1 species
UGACCGUGCGAAGGUAGCAUAAUCAUUAGUCUUUUAAUUGAAGGCUUGUAUGAAAGGUUGGACGAAAAACAAACUGUUUCAAACAAAAAAAUUGAAUUUAACUUUUAAGUGAAAAGGCUUAAAUAAAUUAAAAAGACGAUAAGACCCUAUAAAUCUUAACAUUUGUUAUUAUGGGUUUUAAGUUGUGUGUGUAAAAAAAUAUAUAGUAAAAAUGUUGUGUUGGGGCAACAGUAAUAUAAUAAUAUUAAUUGUUAAAAUCAAAAAACAAAUAUAUUUGUUCAAACAAAGAUCCUUAUUAAAGAUUCAAAGAUUAAGUUACUUUAGGGAUAACAGCGUUAUUUUUUCUGAGAGUUCUUAUCGAAGAAAAAGAUUGCGACCUCGAUGUUGAAUUAAAAAUUCUUUUUAAUGCAGCAGUUAAAAAAGAAAGUCUGUUCGACUUUUAAAUUUUUACAUGAUUUGAGUU